rnacentral:rRNA from 1 species
CAGCAGGCGCGAAAACUCCACAAUGUACGACAGUACGAUGGGGUUAUCUCGAGUGCAGUCCGAUAAGGGCUGCUUUUCCAUAGAGUAAUAUCCUGUGGGAAUAAGAGGGGGGCAAGACUGGUGUCAGCCGCCGCGGUAACACCGGCCCCUCGAGUGGUGGGGACUAUUAUUUGGUCUAAAGCGUCCGUAGCUGGCUGUAUCCGUCCCCCGUUAAAUCCAGCGUCCUAAGCGUUGGACUGCGGGUGAUACCAUACAGCUAGAGGGUGGGAUAGGUGAGCGGUAUUUCUGGGGUAGGGGCGAAAUCCUUUGAUCCCAGGAGGACCACCAGUGGCGAAGGCUGCUCACUAGAACACGCCUGACGGUCAGGGACGAAAGCUGGGGCAGCGAACCGGAUUAGAUACCCGGGUAGUCCCAGCUGUAAACGAUGCCAGCUAGGUGUUGGGUCGGCCACGCGCCGCCCCAGUGCCGCAGGGAAGCCGUUAAGCUGGCCACCUGGGGAGUACGACCGCAAGGCUGAAACUUAAAGGAAUUGGCGGGGGAGCAC